UCCGGCUUAUCACCGGCAGUCCCACUAGAGUGCCCAACUGAAUGACGGCAACUAAUGGCAAGGGUUGCGCUCGUUGCGGGACUUAACCCAACAUCUCACGACACGAGCUGACGACGGCCAUGCAGCACCUGUGUCCACGCCCCUUGCGGGGAGGAAUCCAUCUCUGGAAGCCGUCGUGGCAUGUCAAGGGCUGGUAAGGUUCUUCGCGUUGCGUCGAAUUGAACCACAUGCUCCACCGCUUGUGCGGGCCCCCGUCAAUUCCUUUGAGUUUUAGCCUUGCGGCCGUACUCCCCAGGCGGGGAACUUAAUGCGUUAGCUUCGGCACGGACGGAGUCGACACCGCCCACACCUAGUUCCCAUCGUUUACGGCGUGGACUAC
rnacentral:misc_RNA from 1 species